rnacentral:rRNA from 1 species
AUUGAACGCUGGCGGCAGGCCUAACACAUGCAAGUCGAACGAGUGGCGGACGGGUGAGUAAUGUCUGGGAAACUGCCAGAUGGAGGGGGAUAACUACUGGAAACGGUAGCUAAUACCGCAUACCAUCGGAUGUGCCCAGAUGGGAUUAGCUAGUAGGUUGGGUAACGGCUCACCUAGGCGACGAUCCCUAGCUGGUCUGAGAGGAGGACCAGCCACAUUGGAACUGAGACACGGUCCAGACUCCUACGUGAGGCAGCAGUGGGGAAUAUUGCGCAAUGGGCGCAAGCCUGAUGCAGCCAUGCCGCGUGAAUGAAGAAGGCCUUCGGGUUGUAAAGUACUUUCGGCGAGGAGGCGUUACUCGCAGAAGAAGCAACGGCUAACUCCGUGCCAGCAGCCGCGGUAAUUC